rnacentral:rRNA from 1 species
UGGGGAAUAUUGCGCAAUGGGCGAAAGCCUGACGCAGCGACGCCGCGUGGGGGAUGACGCUUUUCGGAGUGUAAACCCCUUUCGAUCGGGACGAAUGCCUCGCAAGAGGAGUGACGGUACCGGUAGAAGAAGCCCCGGCUAACUACGUGCCAGCAGCCGCGGUAAUACGUAGGGGGCCAGCGUUGCUCGGAAUAACUGGGCGUAAAGGGUUCGUAGGCGGUGCGGCAAGUUGGGAGUGAAAUCUCUGGGCUUAACCCAGAGACUGCUCUCAAAACUGCCGUGCUAGAGUGCGGGAGAGGCCAGUGGAAUUGCAGGUGUAGCGGUGAAAUGCGUAGAUAUCUGCAGGAACACCCGUGGCGAAGGCGGCUGGCUGGACCGCAACUGACGCUGAGGAACGAAAGCUAGGGGAGCAAACAGG